rnacentral:lncRNA from 1 species
AUGGAUCCACUCUGUGAGAAGUGGAAAAAUCCAGGUGGUAAUGCAUCUAUCUCAAUGAAUAUCUGGCCCCAGCUGAAAGCAUGCCAAUUGUUCUGCCACUCAUCCUGUGCAAGUAAAAGAUUACUUGUGGAGCUGUGUGGAAAUGUCAAAACAGAUAAAAGGCUGCCCUGCAUAUUUCAUACAUCCAGAAGCAGAGUUCUUGGACCAGCAUUUGGGAGAUAAAAGGAUUGGCGCCUUAGGAACAACAAAAGAAUUUAGGCUUUGGACCUUGGUCUCGCUACCCUAGGGGCUUUCUGUUGCUGCUGUUUUGGGGUGAGAGCACUAGGGUCUUAGUUCAUGGAGACCAGCCCUCUGCCCCUUUCUGAGAAUCAUAAAUGUCUAUGGUAUGUUGAGCUAAGAACACAAAACCCUUUCUUAUUUCAGGACAUUGGCAUUCUGGCAGUGUUGCAAGUGAACUAGCUGCAGAUGAACCCUUAUUUACUGAUGAUACUCUCCUGACUCAGACAGUGCGAAUGUCACUUCUGUGUCAAAGGUCUAAGCAGGGGAGGAGCUGUUAGAAUGGCUUCUGCUCAGUGAUCUGCCUGUUAGGCAAGGAUUUCUUCCCACACAAUGAGAGAAGAAACUUCACACACUGCCUUUCCUUCUCGAUGCUGUUUUGGAGUUUAGAUCGGGGAUGUUCAGAAUAUCCUUCAUUGCUGAUGUAUUUGCACAGCCAAGGAUGUUGUCACCUUAUCAAUAGAAUGCAGGGGGACAUUAAACAUGACAACAUGUCAUUUUGAAUCAACUUUAAAUUCUCUUGUUUCAGAACUAGCUGUAAAGUGAUAAUUCAUUUUAGGUAGAAGUUGGCACAUAUUUAUUCUUGUCUUCUUUUUCAUAGAAAUGAUCAAUAAUAAGAUUUUUUAAGCCGCCUGAAGGAUUGAGAAUCUUUAUGCUUUGAGUGAGUUAUAUGCCUCUGACCAGGGCUGUGACUCUUGUCAAUGUAUGCAGUGUUGAAAUCAGGUUUAUGUUAGGCUUUGUUCUACUUUAGGAAUUAAAAACAAACAGAAAAAAGUCCCCUACAUCUUUUAUUACAGUAUUUUCCCUGUAGUUUAAAACUGCUUAAUACACAUGGAAGCUUGCUUCUUAUAACCUGAGAUUAUUAUAUUGUACAUAUUAUAUCUGACCACCUGCUUCUCAGAGUUUUAGUUUUAAAAAUCUGGCAGGCAACUUUUAGAAAAUUUUUUCCCAAUAACAUACAUAACCAGACAGAAAAGCUUUUUAGAGCUGGAUACUCUGGUUCCUACUGCUGUGUAUUAAUAAAUUAACAGCCUGCUUCA